rnacentral:rRNA from 1 species
CCUACGGGUGGCAGCAGUGAGGAAUAUUGGUCAAUGGCCGGAAGGCUGAACCAGCCAAGCCGCGUGAGGGAGGAAGGCGCAGAGCGUCGCAGACCUCUUUUGCCGGGGGACAAAAGGCCGGACUCGUCCGGUCCUGAGGGUACCCGGCGAAAAAGCAUCGGCUAACUCCGUGCCAGCAGCCGCGGUAAUACGGAGGAUGCGAGCGUUAUCCGGAUUCAUUGGGUUUAAAGGGUGCGCAGGCGGGCCUUUAAGCCGGCGGUGAAAUCGCGGGGCUCAACCCCGCCGAGCCGACGGUACUGGGGGCCUGGAGUGCGGCGGAGGCAUGCGGAAUGCGCGGUGUAGCGGUGAAAUGCAUAGAUAUCGCGCAGAACACCGAUUGCGAAGGCAGCGGGCCGUGCCGCCACUGACGCUGAGGCACGAAAGCGCGGGGAUCGAACAGGAUUAGAUACCCUGGUAGUC